AGCAGACCGCUGGUGGAAAUUCAAACAGAUCACCCUACCUGUUUCAGUUACUUAGGAAUAGUUCCUGAUGGCCUUUCAUGCAGAGUACCUUCCAAAGCAUCUUCGACAUCUGAAGGAGAUGGAGUUUGUAUAGUUGGUGCAGGGGAAUAUGACUGUGUCGGAAUAUGUUCGCAAGUUUCUAGAGUUGGGCCGGUAUUCCCCUAAGACAUUGUUGGAUGAAGACAUGAAGGCUAGAUGGUUUGAGUGGGGUCUCUGUCUAGAGAUCAGACAGUAAUUGUUUGUGCUGGAGCUCAGGACUUAUUC
rnacentral:lncRNA from 1 species